GCACCAAUAGCUCAGCUGGUAGAGCACCUGACUCUUAAUCAGGGUGUCCAGGGUUCGAGUCCCUGUUGGUGUACCA
rnacentral:tRNA from 1 species